GGGGUAAUGGCCUACCAAGGCGACGACGGGUAGCCGACCUGAGAGGGUGACCGGCCCACUGGGACUGAGACACGGCCCAGACUCCUACGGGAGGCAGCAGUGGGGAAUAUUGCACAAUGGGCGGAAGCCUGAUGCAGCGACGCCGCGUGAGGGAUGAAGGCCUUCGGGUUGUAAACCUCUUUCAGCAGGGACGAAGCGUGAGUGACGGUACCUGCAGAAGAAGCACCGGCUAACUACGUGCCAGCAGCCGCGGUAAUACGUAGGGUGCAAGCGUUGUCCGGAUUUAUUGGGCGUAAAGGGCUCGUAGGCGGUCUGUCGCGUCGGAUGUGAAAACUCGGAGCUCAACUCCGAGCCUGCAUUCGAUACGGGCAGACUAGAGUUCGGUAGGGGAGAUUGGAAUUCCUGGUGUAGCGGUGGAAUGCGCAGAUAUCAGGAGGAACACCGGUGGCGAAGGCGGGUCUCUGGGAAACAACUGACGCUGAGGAACGAAAGCGUGGGUAGCAAACAGGAUUAGAUACCCUGGUAGUCCACGCCGUAAACGGUGGGCGCUA
rnacentral:rRNA from 1 species